GAUGAACGCUGGCGGCGUGCCUAACACAUGCAAGUCGAGCGAACAGACGAGGAGCUUGCUCCUCUGACGUUAGCGGAGGACGGGUGAGUAACACGUGGAUAACCUACUUAUCUGACUGGGAUAAUUUCGGGAAACCGGCGCUAAUCCCGGAGAAUAUAUUGAACCGCAGGGUGCAAUGGUGAAAGUCGGCUUUGGUGUAUCGUCUAGCGGGUUCCGCGCCGUAUGAGCUGGUUGGUAAGGUAACAGCUUACCAAGGCAACGAUGCGUAACCGAACGGAUGGGGUGAUCGCCCACACUGGAGCUGAGACACGGUCCAGACUCCUACGGGAGGCAGCAGUAGGGAAUCUUCCGCAAUGGGCGGAAGCCUGACGGAGCAACGCCGCGUGAGUGACAAAGGUCUUCGGAUCGUAAAACUCUGUUAUUAGGUAAGAACAACUGUGUAAGUAACUAUGCACGUCCUGACGGUACCUAAUCAGAAAGCAACGGCUAACUACGUG
rnacentral:rRNA from 1 species